GUUGUACUCUUUUUGGAUGUUUUCUUGGAUCUUUGUCUCCUUCCAAUUUUCACGAGAUCCAAAUACUGUUAUGACCAUCCCCGACUGAUGUCGGGGACGGUAUUCCUACAAAAAUAUGAGAAAUAUGUGAGAGCAGGACCGUCAUGCAAAAUAAUAAAAAAAAUAAGUAGAUGCGACCUUAUAGUCAAAUACUCCCCUGAUUUAUCAUUUUUUGACUUGAUAUUAACGUCUUGUGAAAUACAAGGACUCAAAUUUUUUUAAUCCUCUUGUCUCUUGUGACUUCGGACAAAAAGUGAUUUCUGAAUUUGAACAUAAAUUAAUUUUCGCUGUAAAGAAGAACAACUCAAAAUGUAAAAGUGUUAAUACCUGUACAUAAUGAAUAAUGUAAAAUAUCACACAAAUAAUGAAUAAAACACAUAAACACUGUUUUUAUUAAAGACAAACUGAAAUAUAUCACAUAUCAUACAAAUAAUUAUGGCGCGUCCUAUACAAAUAUGUGACCCUUUUAUGCCUUAGGCCUAUCGAUUCGAAGGAUGUAUAACGUCUUUUGACAACUUUCCAUUGUCCCCCAAAACACUUAGUACAAUUUAUGAACAAAUGAAAUAG
rnacentral:misc_RNA from 1 species